UGGGGAAUAUUGGACAAUGGGCGAAAGCCUGAUCCAGCAAUGCCGCGUGAGUGAUGAAGGCCUUAGGGUUGUAAAGCUCUUUUUACCAGGGAAUGAUAAUGACAGUACCUGGAGAAUAAGCUCCGGCUAACUCCGUGCCAGCAGCCGCGGUAAUACGGAGGGAGCUAGCGUUGUUCGGAAUUACUGGGCGUAAAGCGUACGUAGGCGGUUAUUCAAGUCAGAGGUGAAAGCCCGGGGCUCAACCCCGGAACGGCCUUUGAAACUACGAUAGCUAGAAUCUUGGAGAGGUCAGUGGAAUUCCGAGUGUAGAGGUGAAAGUUCGUAGAUAUUCGGAAGAACACCAGUGGCGAAGGCGACUGACUGGACAAGUAUUGACGCUGAGGUACGAAAGCGUGGGGAGCAAACAGGAUUA
rnacentral:rRNA from 1 species